AGCGAACGCUGGCGGCGUGCCUAACACAUGCAAGUCGAACGUGAAAGGGAGCAAUCCCAAGUAAAGUGGCGUACGGGUGAGUAACACGUAGGUAAUCUACCCCAGAAUCUGGAAUAACCGGCCGAAAGGCUGGCUAAUACUGGAUAGAGCGACGGAAUCCGUAAUUGGGUUUUUCGGGAAAGGUAGCCUGUAAAAAGGCCUUCGUUCUGGGAUGAGCCUGCGUCCCAUCAGCUAGUUGGUGAGGUAAAAGCUUACCAAGGUAAUGACGGGUAGCUGGUCUGAGAGGACGAUCAGCCAAACUGGAACUGAAACACGGUCCAGACUCCUACGGGAGGCAGCAGUGGGGAAUCUUGCGCAAUGGGCGAAAGUCUGACGCAGCAACGCCGCGUGAGUGAAGAAGGCCUUCGGGUUGUAAAGCUCUGUCGAGUGGGACGAAAAUGCUUGGAGUUAACAGCUCCAGGAACUGACGGUACCAAUAAAGGAAGCACCGGCUAACUCCGUG
rnacentral:rRNA from 1 species